ACUGUGUUAAUGUCCUUCUUAGCAGCUGUCCAUCCUUCUUGAAAUGAUUGUGGUGUGCCUUCAAGUAGUGUUUUUCGGUUUGGUAUCAUGGGCUGGUACUGUGUUUCACUAGCAUCUUUCAGGGAGCUAUUUGCUAUUGCAUUACUUAUUUUUACUUGUUCAGAAAAGAGUACUUGCACCACUACCCUAAGUGGAAGUCUCUCAUUUUGUGCAGCAUGCAUGCAGGCAUCAAUUGAGAGUUUUUGGCAGUCCAUCACACGGCACAGGCGCUUCCUUUCAUGCUCAGACAGUGUUGGAUGGGCCUUAAGAUAAGAAUCAAUUGCUCGAUAAAGCCC
rnacentral:misc_RNA from 1 species